rnacentral:snRNA from 1 species
GCCUAUUCGUGAACAUAUACUAAAAUUCUAACAAUACAGAGCACGCCCCUGCGCAAGAAUGACAAAUAAUUUUAUGAAGCGUUCCAAAAUUUC